rnacentral:rRNA from 1 species
UAGCGUAGGGGGCAAGCGUUGUCCGGAAUCGAUUGGGCGUAAAGAGCGUGUAGGCGGCUCGAUAAGUCUGCUGUGAAAGUCCAGGGCUCAACCCUGGAAGGCCGGUGGAAACUGUCGGGCUAGAGUCCGGAAGAGGCGAGUGGAAUUCCCGGUGUAGCGGUGAAAUGCGCAGAUAUCGGGAGGAACACCAAUGGCGAAGGCAGCUCGCUGGGACGGUACUGACGCUGAGACGCGAAAGCGUGGGGAGCAAACAGG